rnacentral:rRNA from 1 species
UCAUUGGGAUUCGUAGCUAAACCUAAAGGCGAAAUGAAAGUGAAGGCGCGCCUCGCGCGCGCCGAGGGAGGACGGGCGGGAUUCACGUCGCCGCCCCGCACUCCCGGGGCGUCUCGUUCUCAUCGCGAGAAGAGGCGCACCCUGAGCGUACACGCUGGGACCCGAAAGAUGGUGAACUAUGCCUGGUCAGGACGAAGUCAGGGGAAACCCUGAUGGAGGUCCGUAGCGAUUCUGACGUGCAAAUCGAUCGUCGGAACUGGGUAUAGGGGCGAAAGACUAAUCGAACCAUCUAGUAGCUGGUUCCCUCCGAAGUUUCCCUCAGGAUAGCUGGCGCUCGCUUUUUGCGAGUCUCAUCCGGUAAAGCGAAUGAUUAGAGGCAUUGGGGUCGAAACGGCCUCAACCUAUUCUCAAACUUUAAAUGGGUGAGAUCUCCGGCUUGCUUAAACACGCCCCCAGUGCGUGUGAAGCCGCGAGAUCGGAUCAGAGUGCCAAGUGGGCCACUUUUGGUAAGCAGAACUGGCGCUGUGGGAUGAACCAAACGCGGAGUUAAAGCGCCUAAAUCGACGCUUAUGGGAUACCAUGAAAGGCGUUGGUAACUUAAGACAGC